AUGAACGCUGGCGGCGUGCUUAACACCUUCCAGUCGCACGGGAAAUAUUUCAUUGAGACUUCGGUGGAUUUGAUUUAUUUCUAGUGGCGGACGGGUGAGUAACGCGUGGGUAACCUGCCUUAUACAGGGGGAUAACAGUCAGAAAUGGCUGCUAAUACCGCAUAAGCGCACAGAGCUGCAUGGCUCAGUGUGAAAAACUCCGGUGGUAUAAGAUGGACCCGCGUUGGAUUAGCUAGUUGGUGGGGUAACGGCCCACCAAGGCGACGAUCCAUAGCCGGCCUGAGAGGGUGAACGGCCACAUUGGGACUGAGACACGGCCCAGACUCCUACGGGAGGCAGCAGUGGGGAAUAUUGCACAAUGGGGGAAACCCUGAUGCAGCGACGCCGCGUGAAGGAAGAAGUAUCUCGGUAUGUAAACUUCUAUCAGCAGGGAAGAUAGUGACGGUACCUGACUAAGAAGCCCCGGCUAACUACGUG
rnacentral:rRNA from 1 species